GCUGCGGUGCCCCUGUGGUUAGAGCGACGGCCUCGGAUGCGGUAGGACGCAGGUUCGAAUUCCGUCCGAGAUU